GACGGAAGGUGCAAGCGUUGCUCGGAAUCACUGGGCGUAAAGGGUGCGUAGGCGGCUUCUUAAGUCUGGUGUGAAAGCCCGGGGCUCAGCUCUGGAAGUGCACUAGAUACUGGGAAGCUUGAGUACCGGAGGGGAGAGUGGAAUUCCUGGUGUAGCGGUGAAAUGCGUAGAUAUCAGGAGGAAUACCGGUGGCGAAAGCGACUCUCUGGACGGUUACUGACGCUGAGGCACGAAAGCGUGGGGAGCAAACAGG
rnacentral:rRNA from 1 species